rnacentral:rRNA from 1 species
AGUGAACGCUGGCGGUAGGCCUAACACAUGCAAGUCGAACGGCAGCACAGUAAGAGCUUGCUCUUACGGGUGGCGAGUGGCGGACGGGUGAGGAAUACAUCGGAAUCUACUUUUUCGUGGGGGAUAACGUAGGGAAACUUACGCUAAUACCGCAUACGACCUACGGGUGAAAGCAGGGGAUCUUCGGACCUUGCGCGAUUGAAUGAGCCGAUGUCGGAUUAGCUAGUUGGCGGGGUAAAGGCCCACCAAGGCGUCGAUCCGUAGCUGGUCUGAGAGGAUGAUCAGCCACACUGGAACUGAGACACGGUCCAGACUCCUACGGGAGGCAGCAGUGGGGAAUAUUGGACAAUGGGCGCAAGCCUGAUCCAGCCAUACCGCGUGGGUGAAGAAGGCCUUCGGGUUGUAAAGCCCUUUUGUUGGGAAAGAAAAGCAGCAGGUUAAUACCCCGCUGUUCUGGCGGUACCCAAAGAAUAAGCACCGGCUAACUUCGUG